CGCCCGCUCCCCCCUCCCCACGAGCGCUGCUCUGGCCGCACUGCGCUCGCUCUGAGCUCCGGGCUCCUGCUAAGCCAACGCCGCUGUCGCCUCCCUCCAGUCGCCAUCAUGAUCAUCUACCAGGACCUCAUUAGCCAUGACGAGAUGUUCUCCGACAUCUAGAAGAUCCGGGAGGUCGCGGACGGGCUGUGUCUGGACGUGGAGGGGAAGAUGGUCAGUAGGACAGAGGGUAACAUCGAUGACUCGCUCAUUGGUGGAAAUGCCUCCGCUGAAGGCCCCGAGGGCGAAGGUGUCGAUAUUGUCAUGAACCAUAACUUGCAGGAAACCAGCUUCACAAAAGAAGCCUACAAGAAGUACAUCAAAGAUUACAUGAAGUCAGUCAAAGGGAAACUUGAAGAACAGAGACCAGAAAGAGUGAAACCUUUUAUGACAGGGGCUGCAGAACAAGUCAAGCACAUCCUUGCUAAUUCAAAAACUAUCAGUUCUUUAUUGGUGAAAACAUGAAUCCAGAUGGCACGGUUGCUCUGCUAGACUACCGUGAGGA